rnacentral:rRNA from 1 species
UGGUACAAAGGGAGGCGAAGGGGUGACCUGGAGCGAAACCCAAAAAUACAGUCUCAGUUCGGAUUGAAGUCUGCAACUCGACUUCAUGAAGUCGGAAUCGCUAGUAAUCGCGGAUCAGAACGCCGCGGUGAAUACGUUCUCGGGGUUU